rnacentral:rRNA from 1 species
CAAUAGCGUAUAUUAAAGUUGUUGCAGUUAAAAAGCUCGUAGUUGGAUUUCGGGGCAGCCUGGCUGGUCCGCCGCAAGGCGAGUACUGGUCAGCCGCCCUUCCUCUCGAAAGCCCCGACUGCUCUUUAUUGCAGUGGUCGGGUAGUUCGGGACGUUUACUUUGAAAAAAUUAGAGUGUUCAAGGCAGGCCUAUGCCUGAAUACAUUAGCAUGGAAUAAUGGAAGAGGACCUCGGUCCUAUUUUGUUGGUUUCCAGGACCGAAGUAAUGAUUAAGAGGGACAGUUGGGGGCAUUCGUAUUUAAUUGUCAGAGGUGAAAUUCUCGGAUUUAUGAAAGACGAACAACUGCGAAAGCAUUUGCCAAGGAUGUUUUCAUUAA